AGGACGAACGCUGGCGGCGCGCUUAACACAUGCAAGUCGAGCGAGAACCAGGCCUUCGGGCCUGGGGAAAGCGGCGAACGGGUGAGUAACACGUGGGUAACCCACCCUUGGUACCGGGAUAGCCCGAGGAAACUCGGAUUAAUACCGGAUGGCCCAACAGCUUCUCGGAGCGGUUGGAAAAGGUAGCUUCGGCCUCCGACCAAGGACGGGCCCGCGGUGGAUUAGCUUGUUGGUGAGGUAACGGCUCACCAAGGCUUCGAUCCAUAGCUGGUCUGAGAGGACGAUCAGCCACACUGGGACUGAGACACGGCCCAGACUCCUACGGGAGGCAGCAGUGGGGAAUCUUGCGCAAUGGGCGAAAGCCUGACGCAGCGACGCCGCGUGGGGGAAGAAGGCUUUCGGGUUGUAAACCCCUUUCAGGAAGGACGAAGCCACUCGGGUUAAUAGCCCAGAGGGUGACGGUACUUCCAGAAGAAGCCCCGGCUAACUACGCGCCAGCAGCCGCGGUAA
rnacentral:rRNA from 1 species